UCUGAGGGAAUGUUGACAAGGUAACUAAGCAACGCUGGCAGGCAUUGGUGAAGGAAGUUCUUAUUUUUCUUUUCCUAUUGAUGUCUUCUGCCUCAUUAGUUGAAAAAUCAGAGUCCUUGCCAGGGAUAAAGGAAGAAAUGAAACAACUCCCCCACUGACUCCGGGGAAAUGCAUCUUCUGCGGCAGCGACCACCUCUAAGAGGCCAUCAUAGUGAGGCAGAGGGUGACAGGGACAGAAAGAGCUGUUAACAGAAAGACUAAUGUUAACUGUCGGAAGUAAGUGGUGAGGGAGAAGUCCAAAAUGUCAUCUUUGGGCUGGAGGACGUCUCUGGGCAGGACAAUUGACUACAGAAAAGCCACAAGAAAAAUGCCUCCUCCUCCCCAAACACCCCACACAAAGGAGGUACAAUCUGGCCCCUGCCUUGCUGGGUUCCAAGAAGCUGGAAUGGUGUCCGGCACAGACUUCCUGAAAGGUCUCAAGCUUCAAGACAUGUAGGAGCCCCAGACAUCAUCUGGUCUGUUCUUUGACUUAACCCCUGUGAGACUUCAACAUCUCGGCCUUCAAUGUACCAAGUCUUGGACUGUGCUGUGGGGCAGCAUCAUUUGCUCACUUGAGGUUUUUAUGAAGAAUUUCCCCUAAAAGCCGACUACUAGACUACCCCGUCCUAGAGUUACCUCAGGGGAGAAGAAGACACUAUUUAGUUGCUAAGUAUGAGAAUAAUAAACGAGGUAUGCUCAGCUGA